GGGGGCAUAGCUCAGUGGUAGAGCAUUUGAUUGGAUAUCAAGAAGUCCCUGGUUCAAAUCCGGGUGCCACCU